rnacentral:rRNA from 1 species
GCGACCGGCGCACGGGUGAGUAACGCGUAUCCAACCUUCCGUACACUCAGGGAUAGCCUUUCGAAAGAAAGAUUAAUACCUGAUGGUAUGAUGAGAUUGCAUGAUAGCAUCAUUAAAGAUUUAUCGGUGUACGAUGGGGAUGCGUUCCAUUAGGUAGUAGGCGGGGUAACGGCCCACCUAGCCAACGAUGGAUAGGGGUUCUGAGAGGAAGGUCCCCCACAUUGGAACUGAGACACGGUCCAAACUCCUACGGGAGGCAGCAGUGAGGAAUAUUGGUCAAUGGACGAGAGUCUGAACCAGCCAAGUAGCGUGAAGGAUGAAGGUCCUACGGAUUGUAAACUUCUUUUAUAAGGGAAUAAACCCUCCCACGUGUGGGAGCUUGUAUGUACCUUAUGAAUAAGCAUCGGCUAACUCCGAGCCAGCAGCCGCGGUAAUACGGAGGAUGCGAGCGUUAUCCGGAUUUAUUGGGUUUAAAGGGAGCGCAGACGGGUCGUUAAGUCAGCUGUGAAAGUUUGGGGCUCAACCUUAAAAUUGCAGUUGAUACUGGCGUCCUUGAGUGCGGUUGAGGUGUGCGGAAUUCGUGGUGUAGCGGUGAAAUGCUUAGAUAUCACGAAGAACUCCGAUUGCGAAGGCAGCAC